AAAAUAUAUCCAUCAUAAUUGUAUCCGGCAAGGUACUCGUCAGAUCCAAAACCAUCUCCUCCAUUCGCCUUCAAAUUGAUACUCUGGCGGCAGACCUAAUCGCCUUCCGAUUCUGUUUCAAUCGGACUUGCAACAGUUGCAGCAGUGCGACGCAGUCAAACUAGCUGCUUUGUUAAUGACAGUUAAAGCUAAAUAUGCUUUAUAGAUAGCACAGGUUCAGGAGAAAGGGUUUCCCCCCUAUGCAAUUAUUGAUGAUACGGGUGUGGAUUUUAAGAUCAAGCUGCUCACUGUUGGUGGGAAGAAGUUGAAGCUUACAAUUUGGGAUACCGCUGGACAAGAGAGGUUCA